GACGAACGCUGGCGGCGUGCUUAACACAUGCAAGUCGAACGGAAAGGCCCUGCUUUUGUGGGGUGCUCGAGUGGCGAACGGGUGAGUAACACGUGAGUAACCUGCCCUUGACUUUGGGAUAACUUCAGGAAACUGGGGCUAAUACCGGAUAGGAGCUCCUGCUGCAUGGUGGGGGUUGGAAAGUUUCGGCGGUUGGGGAUGGACUCGCGGCUUAUCAGCUUGUUGGUGGGGUAGUGGCUUACCAAGGCUUUGACGGGUAGCCGGCCUGAGAGGGUGACCGGCCCCAUUGGGACUGAGAUACGGCCCAGACUCCUACGGGAGGCAGCGGUGGGGAAUAUUGCACAAUGGGCGGAAGCCUGAUGCAGCAACGCCGCGUGCGGGAUGACGGCCUUCGGGUUGUAAACCGCUUUCGCCUGUGACGAAGCGUGAGUGACGGUAAUGGGUAAAGAAGCACCGGCUAACUACGUG
rnacentral:rRNA from 1 species